GAAAUAUUUCUUUGAGUCGAAGGAAAACAUUCUCAAAAAGUUUUUCUUGAUACUCUUUUCAAUUUGUUAAUGGAUUAGCUGAAAUUAUACCUUUCAUAUCUGUAUGAAAUGAAAUGAUGGAGUCAUCUUCAAACAGUUUUUCCCAGAACUCGCGAUUCUUAUCAUUUUUAGCAGUUGCUUCUUGUUUCUGUUGUUCAUUAGAACUUACUGAGCCACCAGUGACAUGAAACCAGUUUCAGGCCAUUUAUUGGACUGUUGAGAAGUGACAGGAACAAUAUAUUCCCAAUAGAUAUUACCAUCUUGUCAACUCUAAAUUUUCUUGUAACAGACUAGAACUCUGCCAAUUUUACUAAGGCUGGACAUUAUUGUCUGCUACUUGGGAUAAAUUCAGAAGCAGAUGGUUCAAUAGCAUCUCUGCUGUCCAACGUGAUCUUGACUAGACACCUCUUCAAAAAAUCGUUCGACAACUUUGCAUUCUGAAACAUUGGUUCCUCAAACCCGAUUCUGUAUAAAACAUUCGAAUCUUGACUAUCUUCAUCUGAUUCCCACAACGGUGGCCCUAUCAUCAACUCGUAGAUAGUGCAACCGAGAGCCCAUAUAUAUAUCUGUAUAGAGUCAAAUUCGACCCUCGACGCCCCUAUGUUGGCAGGUACGGCCAAAGGACGCAUGUUGGCUAAAGCGGAAGUACGACUUGGGCGUAAGGAUAGGAACGACGCCGUUCAGCCCCAGCGUCCUCGAGUAGAGGGAUAUCACCUACUUUUGUACUUUUUGAUUAUUUCGAGAAAGGUCUCUUACUAUAUAAAGGAGACCUUCACAUUGUAAAGGGAUCCAUCAUUAUUCUCGGAUAAUACAACUCUCUUAUUUCUCUCUCUA